UCACGUCCUACGACAAUAGUUUUUACAUCACGGCAUUUGUCUAGGAUUAAGACGAGAGGUUUGAUCUACUUCAUACCAAUAGCAGAUUGUAUACUUUCUCGCUGACAGCAUCGGGCCAUUCUUCUCGACAUUUGUGCCUACCUGUAAUUACAAAAGCCAUAUAAGAUUUCAACGGAUUCAUCUCUGGUGUUACAAUUAUUUAACACAGAAGAAACUCAGGUACAACAUCUCGUACAUAUUUAGCCUUAGUUACGCAUGAUGUAUGCGUAGAUCUGAAUGUUAUGAAUGUUCUAAAAAUUAUUCCGUACCAAGUAACAGGCUAUUAUUUAUGGUUCCUAGGCCAAUAUUUUGUUAUCUUCCGUUACCACGCCGUAAGCAGCCAAGUAAGGAUAAAUGAUUAAUGCUAGGAUCCACGACAACAUACAAUAUAACUUAGCCUUGAUCUUAAUGGUCCAUACCUCAUGGUAAAUGAAUUCAAACCGUUUUACUUACACGUAGGUUUUAGCAUUGCAUUUAAUUGAUUAAUUCGAUGCAAGAUUAUAUAACGUCUCGAGUCUCAAGGUUAGUACAAUUUAUAUGAAACUGAGUGCUAUGAACUUGCGAACAGAAAUGGGAUAAUUAAUGUAUUCAGUAUUUAUUCAGUAUCGCUAAAGAGAACGUUAAAGCUUCGCCAGUGAGGUCUCUGGCGACCAAGUUAAUGAAGCUUGUCUUCAUCUUUUAUGCAACAGUACAUCAUUGCCACACGUGACUCAUUCGCUGAAUGGUUGAUUGGAUCACUUCUUGAUGAGAUCCCCACAGUUAAUUUUAUACGUAGGGACGAAUACGAAUAGGUUAUACCCCACGUAUAACCUUCAUAUUCAUUCACUCAGUUGGAAUUCAGUGUUAAGUUAACACUGACUUUUCUGGUUAACACUGUUAACUGUAACUGAAAAGCCUUUUAAAAAGAAGAUAAUAAGACCAACAUAUUUUGGUUUGUGUGUUUGAAAUUGUCGAAUCUCAUCUCUGCUUACCAGACAAACUUUCUUACAUUCUUCUUGCUGUCAAAUUUAUUAUUACUCAAGGGUCUAAGAAAUCAGCUCAAAUAAUAUUACGUUAUUGUUCCAGAUAGAUUAUAAUUUAUAAUUAAUUAUUAAUGAAUUAAUUGCCAUUAUCAAAUUAAUUCUUACUAAAUAAUAAAAAUCUCAAUGUCACAACGAUGUCUGCAGUUUUUAAUUCUUUCUCGUCUUUUAAACCGCCAAGUGUGGUCCGGGAGAUGAAGUAAACCGACGUAUAUCUCUGACAUCUUUGUGACUUUUAUAGUGCAAAUACUUUAUAACUUCCCAUACUAGACUACUGUGCCAUCGUUAAUUAUAGACAGCUAUUGCACCAAUUUCGUGUUAUUCCCGGAACUGUGAAACAGAAAUGAAGGCAAAGCCAGAAUUCUCGGGAGAAAGGAAUGAAGCACGUCCGACAUCGAGUCUCCGUUCCACGUUUUCGUCCGAAAAUUCAUUUCUGCAAGCCAUCGAGUUAACUUAAGCACAGACUACUGUAAGACAGACUGCAAAUAGACUAGACAACUUUGGUUCGGAAAAGGCUUUCGCCCCACUACGUUUCAUUCGUAGUAUUACUCUUGAAUUGUCGGAAAGCCUCAGGAUACAUACAACAGGGUUCUAGUUUGGAAAAUCAAUCUCCUUUUUAUUCUCUUCCAUCUCUGCGUCUCUUAGGUGUUAUCACUUGUCUAUCAAAAGAGUUUGAUAGAUCUGUACACUAUCACAGUGAGGAACGGGCGAUAAUUAGAAAGCAACGUUGGGUACUGCUCAAAUGUAAUUGGAUGACAGAUUGUGCAUGUGAUAACCGACUUUCUUUUUCUGAUCUGGCGUUUUCAGUCGGGAGUUGACUGAAUGCUGCUGUGCCAACUGAUUACGGAUGGUAAUGAAUUAACUUUUUUUCCCCGCCUGGUUCCUUUCAUUCAUCUUUUCAGUGCUAUUUCUGGUGCAAAGUUGAGAAGCCAACGAAAGUACCAAUCUGUUCCAACAAAAGAAAUGUGUUCAAACGCCAUAUUAUAUCGAAAUUGGAUGGAUAUUCUCUGUGAAAUCGUGAAAAGGAGGAAGAUCUUGAAACGACAGUUGCGUGAGCGUUGCUGGGAUUGAAUUAGAUUUCGUCGUCACCAAAGAUUCUUCGUUUUUCAAAUGGGAUGGUUUAAAACG